GCAGGAAUAUCGAAGUGGUCAUAACGAGGCGGUCUUGAAAACCGUUUGCCGCAAGGCACGGGGGUUCGAAUCCCUCUUCCUGCGCCA
rnacentral:tRNA from 1 species